CCCAUUCAUGAAGACGGACUGCAGAGAUCUUGUUCCCGGGCCACGGGCGGCGACGGCUCGCGGAUUUAGGGUUCGGGAGGGAGGGCGACGGGGAGGGGUUUGGAGGUGCGGUGGCGGCGGCGCCUGCGCGCACGGUGAGGGGCCGGCGGCGCGAGCGACGCGGCGGAGACGGUGCCGGCGCGCGCGGUGAGCGGGACCACGCGACGUCGAGGAGUGCGGCCACGUCGGCACCCUAGGUAGCGCCAGGGACGACCUGGAAGAAGAAGUCGACGCAGCCACGCAGGGGUCGCCGGACGAGGCAUAGGCGAGCGCCCGCCGGGACCGCGGCGCCUCCUUCGCCAUCGGAGGGCGACUCCUCGCGGGUGAGCUCGGGAUCCGCAGCGGCAGCGACGUUGGUGCUGAGGGCGGCGGCAGCCACAGCCAUGGGGGGCCCGAGGAGCGCGACGGAGGCGGGCGUGGCCAUGGCUAAGGCGGCGGCGGGAGGGUUUGGGUUUUCUGAUUGCAGCGAGAUCGAAUCGAUGGGGUUCCUGGAUCCGUAACCCUAGCCUGGAAGCCGCGCCGCCGCCGCCUGGAAGCUGCCCGCCGCCGCCGGGUACUCGGAUUCGCGCCAUCCGCCGACGCGCGGGGCCGCGCCCUCCACUGGCCGCCUGUCCGCUCGCCACCCCUUCCGCACGAUAGCUGCUGGCCUUGGGUUGGACGAGGGUGCCUUUGCCCCGGACCCGAACGGCCAUACCGACCUGCAGUGCCUCGGGCUGGCCAGGGCCUUGCAGCCGAUGGCCUCGGUGCAAGCAAUGGAGAGCCCGUCGAAGCUUCACGGUGAGCAGGCUCGCCUACUGGAUCAUCUACUCCUUCAUCACGCUCAUGGAUAUGGUGCUCGAGUCCCUCAUCUACUGAUACUCAGAAUCCCGAUUUGGUAUGAGCUGAAGCUGCUGUUCAUCGCGUGGCUGAUGCUCCCCAACUUCAUGGGCGCGGUCUUCAUCUACGACAAGUUCGUCGUCAGGGAGCAUCUCCAGAAGCACGGCCUCGCCGCCAGUGUCGGCUCCAGCGGCAAGGUCAAGAAGGACGACAAGUCGCCAUCCUCUUCUCCCAAGGACAAGCAGAAGCCCAAGAGCAAGUUUCCUCGCCUUUGUCACCCCAAGAAGGAUCAUGGAGCUUACUAAAGCAGGGUGCGGGCGGCUUGUCGAGGCACAGCCUGAGGGGAGACGUAACCAUAAAAAAUAAAUGGGAAUUUGCCAUCAGCAUUGUUUUAUGGUUGCCUAAUUUAUUGCUCUAGAAGAAGAUAAGAUAGAUUUGUUUUAACCAAUCUCGUGUAGAGUUCUGCUUCGAGGUUUAGUGUUGAGAUGAAUUCUUGAGCUAAGAAUGUGCUGUACAAAUCCUUGAUAGCCAUUAAUAUGAUAUAAUAUUAUUUUUCAUAUGGAUAUCUAAAUGAUUGAAUCUACCAACCUGGCAGGAUGGGUGACUAGGCACAAGGAGAUGCAUGUGCCAUAAGUCCUAUGUUAACCUUUGAGAUCAAGCAUUCCACUUUUGGGGAUAAUGUUAACACUUGGCUAUUCACUUCUCACCUAAGACUCAUCUUCAGGUUUUGCAUGAUGGUUUUGAAAUAUUUUUGGAACGCCUUAUUAAAGAGAUCAGGUGCGCAUAGCUUAGUUACUGGCACUUUAUGAUUUUCUAAUUUAUUUGCAUUCCAUAUUUGUGGAAGAUGCUCGAUUUUCUCUCCGUUUUGUUUAUCUUGUAAGUGUAGAUAGAUAGUUAGAUGUGGUAUGUGUUAGAAAAUCAGCACCAGUUCAACGUUUGCUUGCUGGUUUUGGGGACUGCAUGAGCUAAGAGAAGAGACUAUUUUUUUUUCUUUUGAUUGACAUCCUAAAAUCUCUCCUUUUGUUUUCUUUUGGUUGUGAGCUGAUUAUCUUUCUUUUUGUGCGCUGAUUAACAUACUCUGGUUAACAUUCGUUGGUUAACUUUCUAAAUAAUGUUUCCUAAUAACUUUCUAAAUGUUUCUGUGUUGUGGACACAUUAUUUGGCAAGAAGUAUCAACGCAAGAAGAAGCAGGCGAUGUCCAGUUGUCCACAACGGAUUAGUCUAAGUUUAUUUCCUUUUUUGUUAGUUCGGCUGUUUUCUAGGGGGGUUUUUAGUUAUUUCCAAACUCUAUAAAUGUAAGGGCUGGCGGCUCAUUAGGGUUUUGAGCAGAAAGAUAAUCCCUCAAGAACUCAGAGCCUCUUAGGAGGGCGAGUUGGGUGUUAUCAAUCUGCCAUUGUAAUCAGGUUUAGACUCAAGCCAUAUCAUUCUGUGUGAUAUGUCACACAAUAUUUAUUUUCAGAUGACUUGUUCAGCCAAAGCAAAAAUUCAGAAUUUCAGAUCUUGGACCAAUGUAUUCGAUAAAAUGCCCACCAUGAAUCCGUACCAAAGCUGUGCUCUACAAAUCGGAGAUGGCAAAGUACUUCACAGCUUACAAGAUAGGACACAUCUUGGGCUUCUUUAUGAUAUGGGAGAAGUCAUAUCUGUGUUGUGUUCCUCUUCAUCAGUCCUUGUCGAAACACUUCUGAAGGCAAAGGGGUUUUUGGCGUAGACCCAGAUAAGAGGAGCAUGCGAGGCUCUUUGUGAAAGACUACUGAACAUAGGCAAGGAUCAACAAAGGGCAAAAACAUAUCAGUAAAAGUAAGCUUUUAAUCACAUAAUGCACUUUAUUUUGCAAUUGUGAAAUCAGAAUUAGGAAGAGGGUGGGUGACACAGGGAGUUAUGAGAUCCUGAAAUAAGUCGAUAGCAAGCGGGCAAACAUAGUGGAAAAAGAAUGACGUCUUACUGUCUACCUAAUGACACAGACACUGUAGAACACAUGCAUUCUGUAGGUCUGAACUUUGUGUGUGUGGCAUGAAGCAUCCCAUCCCCGUUUCAUUGAUGGGUUUGGACCCGUUUCGGAGUCCAAGGUGGUUCGGACCUGAUGCUGCGUGGCAGCGUGGGACAGUAAUUGCCAUGCCAUCUCAUAUCUCAUAUCAGCUCAUUCUCCCAUGAAAUUUUGUUAUGUCAUGCCAUUGGUGGACCAGAGGCUUUUUCAGAAAGAAUGUUGAAUGAAAUCAUAGAUUGAAAAUCUGCAAAUGAUUAUGCCCUUAUGGAAACUGAAUCUGUUGUGGAAGAGGUAUGCACUUUCCUAAACUUUGUAAAUGCAUUUUUGUUACCAUUAGAGAAUAUGGAAUUGUUGGUCCUGCAUAUGACAUCAAUUUACCACAUAAGUUUUGGCUUCUUCUUUACUAUCUCUAUGUAAUUUUUUUAAAUUUGGAGAUAUCUAAAUAUAUCUUUUAAGUCAAAAAAUUUACUUCAGUAUAUUUAUAUGAUACCUCUUAAUGGAAAAAAGUACUUAACUAUCUAUGUACUUUCAUAAUUUACAGUAAUGAUCAAUUUCAGUCUCUCAAGAAAAUAGGAAGCUCUUAGGAUAAUUUGGCAUGAAUGUCUCGACAUUAAAAUAGAUACAAAGUCACAGUAGUGCUUAAUUAUGAGGAAUAUCUAACCAUGUGUCUGUACAUCUGAAGCUUUGACUUGUUUGAUUUGUGAAGUGCAAGUGAAUCUGGAUGCCCUUUGCUAUUUUUAGGAUUUGCAUAGACUAGUGGAAAAAUUGUUGAGUCUGACAGAUCAAAUGCUAUCACAUUCAUCUUAAGAUCUUAAGAGCACUACAGAAGCAACAAGAUUUCAUCCAUUCAUCCAGUAGUUUGUCAGAAUAUCUCUUUCCUUAGGACCUGUAGGUUGGUCUUCACGUAAGUUAGAUUAUAAGUUUCACCUUUAAUUAAUGUAUGCCUGGGAGAAUGUAGAGAUCGAGAGGAAGACAAUGUAGUUGUGCCAAUUUGUACUUUCACAUAACACAUCCAACAAUUCGUUUGCAUACUUUGGAAUUUGGAAUAUGUACAUGGAGCAUGAAUAUUAUUUAAGGCAAAUUGUAUGCCUCUAUAAUAUGGGGCUUGGAGUUGCUGAUU